UUACGACUUUUUUACGACAACAUGUUCUUACUUUUCUCUGUUUACGUCCUAGUCCUGUUCAACACAUAUAUCCCUAAUCUUUGUCGUGGCUCAAUGUUAUUACCUUAUUAAACCUAAAAUGUCUAAACUACAUUCGUUGAAUGCGUUUCUUACUGCCCGAUUAACUGCGGCGGCUGUGGAUAUAUUCGGGGCAGUGGAGAAGACUAUAACAGCGUACCAGGAAGAAGUCUCCAGAUCAAAAGUGGAGAACGACCAUCUACGGAGGCUGUUGCUAGAUUUCGGUUUCAAACCUGAUAGAGAAUCACAAAUACCAGACCCCCAGCAACUCACUGUCUCUGUCUCUGGAGAGGAGCUUCCCUCUAAGCAGGAGUGGAGUGAUCAAGAGGACACAGAGACCAUAUUCAUUCCCCCCUGUGUGGAAAGUGCCAGUGAUCAGGACUCACCCCAGAGCUCAUACCUUUACCAAAUUGGGAAGAACAGCAAGAGGGACUCUCUUCCCACCAACUCAACAGAACCGAUCAAAACCAAUCAUGAUGGAGAGGACUACGGGGCAUCAGAAUCAACCAGUAACUCUCAGACCAUGUCAAAGUCAAAACAUACACAGGCAAAGAAAGAAGAAAGUCCUCUUGACACUGGGAUAACCAGUGAGCUGAGAGCACCAAUGGUGGCUCACACAGGUGAUAGGCCAUACAAGUGCCCUGUGUGCAGGAAAAGGUUUACUAAUAACAACCAUUUAAAAACACAUCAGAGAAUUCACACAGGGGAGAGGCCACAUUGGUGCAAAGAAUGUGGUAAGUGCUUCAACCGCAAGGGGGAUCUGGGCACACACAUGAGGACUCACACAGGAGAGAAACCGUACCAGUGCAGCGUUUGUGGCAAAAGCUUCAGGCGAAACCGACUGAAUGAGCAUAUGAGGGUACACACAGGGGAAAGACCCUAUCGGUGUGCCGACUGUGAGAAGGGCUUUAUUUCAGUAAGUGACCUAAAACGCCACCAGCGCAUUCACACGGGAGAAAAGCCUUUUAGGUGUGACAGUUGCGGAAAAUGCUUCAGUCAGAUGACAACCUUGAAGAAACAUAUGAGGACUGUUCAUAAGAAGGUUCAAUUACAGAGCAGUGAGGAAAGCCCAGAUCCCUGCUAGCAUUACGGACUCCUGUUCAUUUAUGUGAUAAUGACAAACAGCACAGGACAUAUCUUAUGUUAACCUUGGUACCAUCUGCGUGUGCCUUAGACAAUUUCUCUGACUAUCGCUGUCAUUCAUUCAUGCAUGCAAUUUUGUGUGUUGUAAAUCUCUUCUACAGAACAGUUGCUUUCUUUCAGGACACUGCUCUAACACCAAGAUCUACCAGAUGACAAUCAUCAUGUGUUGUUGUUACUUGACAUUAAAGUGGAUAUACUGGGGGCUUUCAAACUCUGUGCCAACAUUGAUAGAAUGAAAUAAUAAUACUUUUUUGGGGGGGUCUUAUUUGUCCUAUUGCACACAAGUGUGUAAUGGAAACGUGUUUGUUGCAUAUCCCAACUGACCCUAAGACACCCUCAGUGAGUGGGGUUACGGCCAGGGUCACCCUUGUCCAGUUCCCCUGGGGCAAUUGGGUUAAGCACUUUGCUCAAGGGCCCAGCAACAGAUUUAUUUCACCUUGUCGGCUCCGGGAUUCAACCAGUGACCUUUCAGUUGCUGGCCCAACACUCUAACCCCGAGGCUACCUGCUGCCCAAGUUUGGAACAGUCACAAAUCCCUCGCUAAAGCAUGUGCAGAAACCUGCAACUAACUCAUUGCCAUGUGACCAAACUCUUGGGGUUGUUUUUACACAUCCAGAUUAUGCCUAGUCCUGGACCAUAACAUACUUUCAACAAUCUCUUCAACAAGAAUGAUUUUGAAUCCAGGACUAGGUUUAACCUGUAUUCGGGAAAGCGGCCCCUGGUAUUUUCGUUUGAGAUGUUUUGCCAGGCCUAAUGUUAGGUUGUUAAUCAGAGCAAUGAACUAAAAAGUGUCCAACACACUGUUUGUCAUAUCCUGUAUGUACCCUGAAUAUACAUACACAAAGACAUCUAUCAAGGCAAAAUAGUUACGUUGUUUUUUAUUAUUGUUAUCUUUAUUAUAAAUGUUAGCUUUUUCAUUUGUUUUUGUAAACCACAUUAACAAGUAUGAUUUACGUAGAUAAUUGCAUUCCAUACUUGAAUUUUAUAGUCGAACUGAAUGUUCCCCAUUACUUCUGUGCAUGGCUGACUUGUUCAACAGUCUCAUAAGUUCUUCAGCUCAGCUAAAUAUUGUAAACUAAUAUGUUUAUCAAGUUAUGUAGGUAAGAUUUUGUUAAUUCAUUACAGAUUAUAUCCUGCAUUAUCUAUUACAGAUGGACUUUGUACUACAUUAUAUUCAUCUAUUCAAAUAUGAAGUGCAUGAGCCUACAACCUUGACACAACCAACAAUCUUGGUAUUUUCCUUUGAGUUUCUUUGCUUUUAGUAUGUUUUCAUAAUCAGAGCAAUGAAAAAAGACAUACUGUGUACAACACCUGAUGCAUGCACCUUAAAUAUACACAAGAGGUCUAUGAACUACUUCCCCGACAAGUCAUUCUAUUGGCCAAUUCAAGUAGCAGUACGAGGCGUGAGAGCAAGUAUCGUUCUCCAUUGGACGAGAGCAACUUGUUGCUUCAAACCGAUUUCAAACAGCCAACGUGCGCGCCCCUGUCUCUCCAGCUUCCGAGCGCCGCCGUCCACACCGCGCUUUCGUCGAUCCAAAAUUCCGUCUGUCUCACGUGCUUUGUGAAUAUAAAAGCUCUCUUGUUUCCCUUCAUCAUGAGUAGUGUGUCACCAGACAAACGGCGAAAGAUGGAGUCGGCGUUGGAGCAGCUGAAGAAACACACGGUGGUCGUGGCGGACACCGGAGACUUCAACGCCAUUGAAGAGUACAAGCCCCAGGAUGCCACCACCAACCCUUCCCUCAUCCUGGCUGCUGCCAAGAUG